UCCUCCGGCGUCCGAACCUCUACCCUCCUACGGCGUCCCAUUCUACCCUCCUCUGGCGUGCGAUUCUCCCCUCCUCCGGCGUCCGAACCUCUAUCCCAAGGUAUGUUGUUGCUCGGUUUCUUCUUCUUCCUUUCUAAUUUAGGGUUCUUCUUCUCAAGUUGAAGCCCCUUGGUGACAUUGAAGAAUUUUAGUACAUGGUACCAUUGAUCACAUCUCUUAAGCCUGUGAACUGCCACAGUAUUAGCUAUAAGCUCAUGUGAGCACCUCCCAUUAACCCCUGGAUAAUCAUACAUCGUUGGCUUAUUCGAACCUGUUCUUAGCCUUCUUCCCCAUCUUCAACCAUUUUCCAACCAAUUUAUCCUCAAGUCCAUGUGUUUGAUUAGCAGGAAUGCUUGACUCUGCAUUCCACUAGACGAGAUCCCAAGACAAUAGAGAACCCCAUGCCCGACAUGUAUUCGACGAAUGGAUUAUGGCUAUGGCAAGUGAUUACAAAACCAUAAUACAAAAAGCCUAUUUCCCAUGAUAUGCCUACAGAAUGAGAAGUUUGUUAUCACUGGAAAUAUAAUAACUGAAGCCCAAUCAUUUGAACAUAUUUUAGUUUGUUUUUCUGAAGCAUUUUUGAUAGUAAAAGAGAAAUUUAUCAACAAAAUGGGAGAAACUCAAAUCACACAUCAAGAUAGGGCAAUGGGCAUCCCCAAUUGUAAUUCAAGCAGCCAGUUGGUUAAUUCACAAGCCAAGUAAAAUUACUAUCACUUUUGCCAUCAUAGUAAAAUCUGCUUUGUCAUUUAAUUUGUUCUGUUUCCAAUAGCUUGACUGCUAAUGAAUAUGGUUGUUUCUGUUGCUUUGUAGAGCUUUGAAGAGGCUGGUCAAGUUACAUUAUAACCGAUGUCUACUGCGAGUGUCAAUGACAGCAGUCAAAGUGGGUUAAGGUUUGUGAAUGUUAGAUGCAAAUGUCCUGAACCCAAAAGGGCAUUGGUGCGAAUCUCAGAGUCUAGUUCACACCCAAAUAUGUUGUACUACUGUUGCCCUGAAGCACCAAGAGGUUGUCGAUACUUCUCAUGGUGUGAACCUAUAGCUGCACCAAGACUUUUGUCAACCCCUGCAACUAAUUUAGAAGCAGUUGUUGGUGAAAGAAUCCAAAGUCAACAGAUGAAAGAAGAUAUUCGUGGCUUGAAGAAAAGAAUUAAGUAUUUAGAGAAAGCGUAUAGAACGAUGAAAAUUGUAAUUGGUGUGCUUGUGGUGGUGUGUUUAGUGCUAUGUGUUAAAAAAUGACUUUACAAGCAUUAAUAUGAAGUUGUGUCAAGUAUGUAAGAAUCUGAACUAAAUGAAAUCGUUCAUUCUCACUGUUCUUA